CAGUGCCGCGGGAAUACAGAGGGUGCGAGCGUUAAUCGGAUUUACUGGGCGUAAAGCGUGCGUAGGCGGCUUUUUAAGUCGGAUGUGAAAUCCCUGAGCUUAACUUAGGAAUUGCAUUCGAUACUGGGAAGCUAGAGUAUGGGAGAGGAUGGUAGAAUUCCAGGUGUAGCGGUGAAAUGCGUAGAGAUCUGGAGGAAUACCGAUGGCGAAGGCAGCCAUCUGGCCUAAUACUGACGCUGAGGUACGAAAGCAUGGGGAGCAAACAGGAUUAGAUACCCCCGUAGUCCCUGUCUCUUAUACA
rnacentral:rRNA from 1 species